CCAGGGCCGCUCCUGUGGCACAUGGAGGUUCCCAGGCUAGGGCCCUAAUUGGAGCUUUAGCCACUGGCCUAUGCCAGAGCCACAGCAACUCGGGAUCCGAGCUGCAUCUGCGACCUAUACCACAGCUCACGGCAACGCCGGAUCCUCAACCCACUGAGCGAGUCCAGGGAUCGAACCCGCAACGGCAACCUCAUGGUUCCUAGUCGAUUUGUUAACCACUGAGCCAUGAUGGGAACUCCUAAUUUCUUUUCUUACAGAAGGAGUAUUUUAAUGUUAGGCAAAUCUUUUUUUUUUUUCAGACAAAAGAACUGCCUCACAAAAAUUUUGCAUUAUCCCCGAGCAAACUUAAAGUCUGAUGAUCAACAGCAGCAAAGGCUGGUCUUUAGGAUUUGCCUAAUUGUGACUGAUACUUAUUUCUCUCUUAUUCUACAGUUUUAUUUAUAUUUGUCCCGCUUUAAUUUUCUAUUCCAUUUAAAAUUAUUGUUUUAUUCUUGUUAUAACCUAUGUAGAGUAUUUUUUUUUUUAACCAGAGUAAGACAUAUCAGUAAAGACAAGUAAACAGUAGAGGAUGGAAAUGUUGAAAGGAAGAAAAAAUUAAUAAUGUAAAGAAAAAUAUAUUUGAACAUUAAGAUGGCUAAGUUAAACAUGGGGAAGUUCCUAAUUUCACAGCUAUCAUUGAUUAUAUUAUUACUAUUCAGAUGAAAUAAACCAAUUUGCUUUAAAUCUCUCUCCAAUAUGGGAAUAUAGUUUAGGGCUCCUAAAUAUAUGAAAUCACUUAUUCCUUGAGACAUAGUAUGUUGUUAUACUAAGAAUGAAAACUAAUUUCAAAGUGAAAUUUCACAACUGCUGAGAAAAAGAAUUUUAUGUAUGAAAGGCUUAUAUUACUGUUGGCUGAUAAGACCCAACAUCCAUGUGGGUCAUCUGCUCUUUUUCUAAAAUGCAGAUGUGAAGCACUGUAAAGCAUAUGGACUUUAAUUGGGUUUGAGCUUUGCCAAGAAAAGUCAGAGAUUUAACAGAUGAGUAGAAGGGGGCACAGAAACAACUCAAGUACUUCCUAGAGGUUUACUUGGGUAGCAUAUAACCUGCUUGGACAACAUUAGACUUUAUUCAGUUAUUCACAAGUGCAGCUGUUUCUGAAAAGACUAUUACUUACAGAGCCACAGUAGCAUUUUACCUCUUAAUGUCCCACAUGCCCUUAGCAAAGUUUUUAAAGAUAAGGCACUUCAAUCAGGAGUCUUUAGACUAGAACACCCCCUAAUAUGGCAGAAAAAAAAUUUAAAGAUGAAAACACUGGUGGAGAAGAGGGAAGUGAACAGCCAGGCCUUAAUGAAAUCAGGAUGAGCUGCUCACCAAAAUAUUAGAUUUGCUGGCCUAUGACUUUGUCCAAAUCCUUUAAAAAUGAUGCCCAUCUCUCUGCUUGCAACAGAGCACACCAGACAUAGUCUCUGAUCUGAGGAAUUACCAUUUUUAUUGAUCAUUAUUUUAUAUAUCUAGUUCAGCAGCUAAAUCAGUUCCUAGCUUUGGUAUAAUUUCAUCUGCUUGUGUCUAAAAUUAAAAUGCAUUUGAAUUAUUCAUCAUUCAUCUCACAAAUAUUUACUCAGGUCUGAUGUGGUCCAAGCAUGGAGGAUCCUAGAAGAAUAUAUCUUUUGUUCCAAAAUGUUCACUCUCAAAAGUCAACACAAAGUGCUAGAGUAAUGACGGGAAUAAGAAAAAGUCUGAUAGAACAGUAAAUCCCUAUGACAAACAUGUAUAUUUGGGGAGCCAUUUGAUUCAUUAAUAUAACGUAAUACAAAUCCUCACAAUCAACUCAGCAUCUGUAUCGUGCCUUCCCUCUAAUAAAAAUGUACUCGUUUUUAUAUUAGAUUUUUAAAAAUGAAUCCUAAUCAACUUAGGGAACUUUUCUGAUUGAAAAGGAGUUAAAGGUAAGUGAAAAACAAUACUGGAAAAUGCAAAGGGAUGUAUGUUUAACCCAAGGUUCAUUUAAGACACUAUUAGUUUCCCUCUCAAUAGCUAUUUCAUAUGGUGGCGGCAAUAUGGUGGAUUUCAGAGAGAUUUUAAUUUCCCUCUGUCCAGAUUCUGGGCACUCAGUGACAUAAAGAAUUUAGAAAAAUGGCUUUAUCUUAUUGGAAAAGCUUUGCCUAUACUAAUGCAGAACCUUAAAACAUAAUGUGCUUCACUGCUUGAAUCCUUUCAAAGAAAUUCCUAAAAUGGCAUGAAAAGAAUCUGUGGUCUUUUUAUAACUCUAUUCACCACAGAGAAGAAUUGUACACAAGGCCAAGCCAUCCUGGUCCCCAAAGGAAAUACAAAGGCAUCUCAUUAAUAAGCACUAUCCUGUACUGGGUCCAGGAUGCCCAGUGUAUGUGUGCCUGGCCUCUCCAUGUAUUUUGUUCUCCAUUUGUCCCCCAGGAUAAAUACUCCAGAGAGAGCUGAAAACAUCAACUGUCUCCUUAAGUGUAGGAUGGCUCUGCGCAGACAAAUUAUUUGGGUAAACAGACCCACUUAGGUAAAGGAGAGAGCUAUGCCUGAAGCAUUAAUUCAAUACCUAGGUAACUGAGUUUACAACAUCUUUAUUAGUUUCCAUUACCUGAACAUCUGAGGCACAUUUUUGUCUUAACACAGCUCCUUGAGCUUUUCACAAUGUCAGUAGUGAAACACCAAAGGUUUUAUAUUGGUUUGGGAUUGGUAUAUGCACACUGAGGCAUAUGGAAUGACUGGCCAACAGGGACACGUUAUAGAGCACAGGGAACUCUACCCAAUAGUCUGUGAUAAUCCACAUGGGAAAAGAAUCUGAAAAAAGAAUGGAUGUGUGUACAUGCAUCACUGAAUCACUUUGUUGUACAGCAGAAAUGAUCACAACCUUAUCGAUCAACGAUACUUCAAUACAACUUUAAAAAAUGAAAAAAAGAACAAUUAAUUAUUAUAAAAAGAAAAAAAUUGUCACCACUGUGAAAUUAAAGCUGAUUAGGCCGCGCACAAGGGGUGCCGACAAGGACGCAAAGUUUCUACUCAGCUUCAAAGCAGUUUGUAUUUAGUGAUUUAUUUUUAAACUCUGAAUAAAAUAACAUCACAGUGUGUCAGAGGGUGUCCUUAAUGAAAACUUUCUGAUGAUAUCUUAUCUUCCUCCCUUCCGAUGGCACGUGCACUCUCUCCAGUUAUGGGGUGGCUGAAGUCUAAAAGGAAAGACUUCAGUAUCUACCUCUAUGGUCUACAUAGUCACUAUACAGUUAUCAUGAGAAGAAAAUCCCUCCACUUCGGCUCAAAGAAAUAACCUGAUAUACGUUAUUCAUUGUUGAAAAGGAAAAACUCUAUGUCUGAGAGGAAGGAGAAAUGAUCCCAGGUCUAACUACCAACGUCAAACACACAUCCGUAGUUUGGUUAUCCCGCCUAAAAAUUUACCAGUAUCAACUUAUUUUGCUGGGUGAAUCAUGCAACUAUGAAGGAGUGACAUUUAAAACACAUUGGUAGCUGUGCUGUAACAUGAAUCUUAUAAUAAUGUCACUGCCAAACUAUUAAAUCCCUUUGCUCCUGAUGGCAGUAUGACAUCAGGACACUGCUUGGGCAGCAACUUGUAGGAGAAGUCAGUAAAACUUUUAGCCUAUGGGUCACUGCCUGGAGGAGCAGGCAAGGAGAAGGUAUUGUCAGAUUAGGCUACAGGACCCAUGUGGAAAUGGAAUAAACUUUCCUUGGUAUCUGCAGUCACCUCCUUUGUGCCCUUUCCUCCAUCUGUUCCUGAAACCUAAUGCCACCAUGACUUGAACCUGAACUUGGGUUCUAUAAAACCUGAACUUGGGUUCUUUACUCAACCAAGGUAUCAAUGAUCACCAGUUGUUACCAUUACUGCUACUAUUAUUGAAGAGUUUACGCAGGCAUUGAACCCACAAGUUUCUAUUCAUAACAGUUUCUCUGGCUGUUGGGUGGAGAUAGGAUUGAACAGGGACUAGAAUAGAAAUGAUGCGGUGACAUAGGGACAAUGGUAGAAGACUGAUAAUAUUAGAAAGUGGUGAAUUUAACCUGCACUUGGCAGGGGGUGGCAUUUGACGCAUCUAAUAGCUAAGAAAAAGAUAGUAGAGCAGUGGUUCUCGCCUUGGCUGCACAUCAGAAUCAUCUGAAGAGCUUUCUAAAAUUCUGAAGCCCAGCUCCACUCUCAGUACUGUUGACUUAAUUUUCUAGUGCCAUUUGCAGAGAAAGAAAGCCAAGAUUUAUGUGAAGUCUCUUGAGUUUUUUGAUUUGGCAAUUUUUUUAUAUCACAUGUGUAUUAAUUUGUACAGGCCAAAAAAAACCCAAAAAGGAAAAAACCAACCCCUGUAAAAUAAAAACCUAAGAUAGCUGUAAUGUGCAGGUGACCAGUUGCAACUUCGACCUUAAAUCAGGGAGGUUAAACUCUAAUUAUGGAUUUCAGACUCUCACAGAAUGUAGGAAUGAAAUUCUCUGGAGACUCUUAGAAACAUAUCCAUUAAUUCCUUGAUACCUCAUUAAUAAGAAAGGUGACCUGGUAAAUUUGGUGCAUUGUAAUUGUGGAUUUAUUUUUUUUCCCUUCUUCCAUCCUCUCCCUCCCCACCUCUUUCUAAGGAAGCAUAACAUUUUUUUUUCAAGGUCAUAGGUUAAGGAGUAAAGCUAGGUUUUAUAUCUGAUUAAGUCUCAAGUCUGUCUGUGCCACUUACCAAAUGUGGUUUUCAGUAGACAUUUUUGAGGGGAGGGGGUGGACAGGGGAGUUGUUACAUAGAGUCUUGCUUUUGAAAAUACAAUUUAUAUAGAUCAGACACUUCUCUAAAUACAUACCAGAAUUUCAACGAGCCUACCAUAUUCCCAAUAAUAUUUCAAAAGUUGAAUACAACAAAGCAAUGAGUCAAAUAAUAAAGUAUCCCUUAGUGAUAACACACCCAUCCCCCCCCCACACCCACAACCACACACACAGCACUCAUCAAAGAGUCUGAACUGAGUUAAAUCAGGAGCUACAUGACUUAUAUCUUAUGAGAAUCUAAUUUCAGAAUAUUUCCUUCAAGAGAAUUCAUUAAUAAAACUGUCAAAUACUGUAUUUUUUUAUGUCAUAUGAUACACCAAGGGAGUACUUAUCCUACAACCUAAGAGAUCAAAGAAUCAUUAAUUAAUUCCCAUGUGCAGUCAUUUCAUAAUUUGGUACUCAGUUUUUCCUAAGCCUGGAUUAAUUUUGGAAAAAAAAAAAAAGAAGUUUCUAUCUUCCUGUUAGACUUUUGAGCCACAGAUGCCGUUCUUAUAAACAUGCCAGGGAAUCAUCAUAUUUUACACACUUGAGUUUCACAGAGUUGUAGAUUAAAUCUUAUUAUUUUCAGAACCAUACGAGCAUGGGAUUUCCCUUCUCUCCUGGAAUGAAUGCUCUUAAUAUGUAUUUAUCACAUUACAAAGAAAAUGAAGGAGUCUUGUAGAUCAUACUGUAAACACAUAGUCACCUUCGACACAUGAAUUUUACUCUUCAGAACAAACUCCACUCUAAGUUAACAACAAGAAAAGCAGAAGUGGAUACACAUCCACAGAUAUGACUCAAAGAGAUGAAGCAUAUGCUGGAGGUUUUACAUACCUA
rnacentral:lncRNA from 1 species